AUUAGCUAGUUGGUGGGGUAACGGCCUACCAAGGCAACGAUCAGUAUCCGGCCUGAGAGGGCGGACGGACACACUGGGACUGAGACACGGCCCAGACUCCUACGGGAGGCAGCAGUGGGGAAUUGUUCGCAAUGGGCGCAAGCCUGACGACGCAACGCCGCGUGGAGGAUGAAGAUUUUCGGAUCGUAAACUCCUGUCGAAUGGGACGAACAGAUUGCGGGUUAACAGCCCGUAGUCCUGACGGUACCGUUAAAGGAAACCCCGGCUAACUCCGUGCCAGCAGCCGCGGUAAUACGGGGGGGGUAAGCGUUGUUCGGAAUUACUGGGCGUAAAGGGCUCGUAGGCGGCCAACUAAGUCAUACGUGAAAUCCCUCAGCUUAACUGGGGAACUGCGUGUGAUACUGGAUGGCUUGGAUUUGGGAGAGGGAUGCGGAAUUCCAGGUGUAGCGGUGAAAUGCGUAGAUAUCUGGAGGAACACCGGUGGCGAAGGCGGCAUCCUGGACCAAUAUUGACGCUGAGGAGCGAAAGCUAGGGGAGCAAACGGGAUUAGAUACCCCGGUAGUCCUAGCCC
rnacentral:rRNA from 1 species